rnacentral:rRNA from 1 species
CAGCCGCCACGGGAAUACGUAGGUGGCAAGCGUUGUCCGGAAUUAUUGGGCGUAAAGGGCUCGCAGGCGGUUUCUUAAGUCUGAUGUGAAAGCCCCCGGCUCAACCGGGGAGGGUCAUUGGAAACUGGGAAACUUGAGUGCAGAAGAGGAGAGUGGAAUUCCACGUGUAGCGGUGAAAUGCGUAGAGAUGUGGAGGAACACCAGUGGCGAAGGCGACUCUCUGGUCUGUAACUGACGCUGAGGAGCAAAAGCGUGGGGAGCGAACAGGAUUAGAUACCCCCGUAGUCCCUGUCUCUUAUAC